rnacentral:rRNA from 1 species
AGUGAACGCUGGCGGUAGGCCUAACACAUGCAAGUCGAACGGCAGCACAGGAGAGCUUGCUCUCUGGGUGGCGAGUGGCGGACGGGUGAGGAAUACAUCGGAAUCUACUCUGUCGUGGGGGAUAACGUAGGGAAACUUACGCUAAUACCGCAUACGACCUACGGGUGAAAGCAGGGGAUCUUCGGACCUUGCGCGAUUGAAUGAGCCGAUGUCGGAUUAGCUAGUUGGCGGGGUAAAGGCCCACCAAGGCGACGAUCCGUAGCUGGUCUGAGAGGAUGAUCAGCCGCACUGGAACUGAGACACGGUCCAGCCUCCUACGGGAGGCAGCAGUGGGGAAUAUUGGACAAUGGGCGCAAGCCUGAUCCAGCCAUACCGCGUGGGUGAAGAAGGCCUUCGGGUUGUAAAGCCCUUUUGUUGGGAAAGAAAUCCAGCUGGCUAAUACCCGGUUGGGAUGACGGUACCCAAAGAAUAAGCACUGGCUAACUUCGUGCCAGCCGCCGCCGUAA